CACACCCUCACAGCCCUUCGGAAAUUGAAGAUGGAUGGUCUUCCAAAUCUGGAGUCAAUUGCAGAAGGUGGGGGUUUGCCUCCCAACCUCCUAUAUUUUAGCAUUCAGAAUUGUGAGAGACUGAGGGCUUCAUCAGUGCAAGGACUUGUCUCCCUUGAAAAAUUUGAAAUUGGUGGCAGGGGAAGUGACGAGAUCUUGGAGAAGUUGCUCAAGCAACAGCUGCUCCCUACCACUCUUCAACGCCUCGAGAUCAGUCAACUUUCAAGUCUGAAAUCUUUGGACGCCAAGGGACUUAAACACCUCACUUCUCUUUAUUUUCUGAGCAUCUCUAAUUGUUCUGCCCUGGAAAAAAGGUAUAAGAAGAAGACGGGAAAAGCUUGGGCCGAGAUAUCUCACAUUCCAUGCAUCAAGAUAGGCAAAGAAAUGAUCAUAUGAUAUGAGCUCUCUCUCUCUCUCUCUGACACACAUUCCUUGCAUCCGAUGUUUCACUCUCAACUCUCAAAUCAAACUCAGGACAGCAUACCUUCUCGUAGAGAGCUUUUCAUUUGCAAGGUUUCUUUGCAUGCCAUUUCCAGAUGAGGGGUUUGCCAUUGUAUAUAGCCUUACAAUUGUUACAACGAGGAGAAACAGAGAGGCUCGCCUGGAAUAUCUCAAUUUGACGCAUUUCUGCAUACAGGCAUCGAAUGUACAACAUUUUUAGUGACAAUAUCUUGGAGACGUUGCUCGAGCAACAGCUGCUCCCUACCACUCUUCACACUCAGCGCAUCAACCAAAUUACAAGUCCGAAAUCUUUGGAGAGAAAGGGACACCUCACUUCUCUUCAACACCUACGAAUGGAAAGCUGUCCUAGUCUCGAAUUUCUGCAACUUCAACACCUCACUUCUCUUCAAAGGCUAUAUAUUAGUUGGGGUGACAAUCUCCAAUUCAUGCCAAAAGAGGGUUUGCAGCCAUCUCUUUCUUUACUGCAGAUCUACAAAUGUUCUGGCCUGGAGAAAAGAACGCUACUUUGUCAACUUUGUUGGCUCAGCUUCCAACUGGGGCCCACCGCCAUCUCUCUCUCUCUCUCACAUCCCUUGUAUCCAAUGUUUCACUCUCAACUCUCAAAUCAAACUCAGUCUUUUUGCAGGACAGCAUACCAUGGAGAGCUUUACAUUUGCAAGGUUUCUUUACGUGGCAUUCCCAGAGCAGGGUUCACCAUUGUAUAUAGCCUUUUGUUUUUCUGCAAAAACAAUUGUCACAGCAAGGAGAAACAGAAAGGCCCACCUGGAAUAUCUCAAUUUGACGCAUUUCUGCAAACAGGCAUCGAAUGUACAUCAUUUUAGGUUACAUGGCAGAAAACUCACAUUCGUACUUCCGUCCCAAUUGGCAUGCCGCCUCAUCUUCUUUAUACUGUUACCAGCUUGAAGCUUUUGUAGAUAUGUUAGGCUCUUGUAGUUCCGAGUGCUUGACAAAUUGAAAGUUCCAAUUAGAUCUUUUAGCAGAAGUUGUGGAGGAGUUAGCCGCACAGAAUGAAAAACUACAAAUGCCAUCUUCUUUCAUACCAUUUUUCAAAAGUCCACUCAUCCCAUUCUUCUUCAACAACGCAGGAAGUUAUACUAGUCGCAUGGUUCAAUGGAGACUCGAGAAACUUUCUCAUGUUUGGAGGUCAAAGCAACUCAUGUAGGCAACCAUGCAUGAUUUCAGAGUCGAAGCUGAUGCUGUAAUCAUAAAUUUCACCUUAGCUGCUUCACUGUAAAUGCCUUUCUGUGCUCGCUUCUUCUGAUCAAACGAAGCAGUUUCAUACAUUGCAUGCAUUGUUUCAUCAGCAUUUCAGACGGAAAAUGAGCCUUGAAUUGUCUUCUAAGCCAAUGGAUUUUUCUAGAAUCUGAAGUGCAAUGGAAAAUUACUGAAUUGAUCUACACAAAGAGUAAACAUUUUUUCUGUUGGAUGCUGGAAGUGCCUCCUAUAAGUGGCUAAGUUGCGAUAUGUGGUGCCAUCAAAUACUCUGCAAAGGGUUCAAGUUGACACCGGAGUUGAACAAGGAUUAGGUCAGCUGUAUAUUUCGCGGAACAGAUCAAGCAUAGUCAUACAUGGCAUGGGUCACUUUCAUCAUCAUUUCAGACGUAAAAUCAGCCUUCAACUGUCUACUGAGUCAAUAGACCUUUCUAGGUAUCUCAAGUGCAAUGGAAAAUUCAUGACUGACUUAAAGAUUCACAAAGAACUCUUCGAAAUGUGGACUGCAGAGAGAUUUGCUGAUGAUUGCAACACUUGCAGAGAUAUAGGGUGAAGGAAUCAGAGCUGACCGUGAGGGCAGCUGAUGCGCAAUGUUAUUGCAACUGGCAACAUGGUCCGAAGUGACAAUUUCAUUCAGAAGCAAGGCUCUAGUAAGGAAAUUGGUCGAGGUUGGGGCAGGGAUGAUUGACGGUGAAAUGGGUGUUAAUUUUUCUCACAGCCCAUUCUCAAAGUUUUUAUUUGCAAAUGUUAUUGGAGUAUUUUUAUUGAAAGGAGAUGACAUGUUCCCUAGAAUAGCCAAUCUAAGUUCCUCCAAGUUUUUUAUUUUUAUUUUUUAAAUUUAAGCAAUCUGUGGUCUUAGAUUGAUCUGGUGGUGCAAAUCAGUCCUAGUUUCUUUUCCAAAAUGUCAUCAAUCGGAACCUUGUAAUUGAGAGCAAUAUGCUAAAUGUUGUUGGAUUGGAUCUAUCCUCUUCAUUGUAAACCUAAUGUCUACGAGGCCUUCAAGGUGUUUAUGCCUAACGUUGAGAAUUUGUAAUAUGAGUUAUUUACACAAACACCCCCCUAAGGUUUUCGGUGUUUUCAC